UGGCAGUCCUUCGACCACCCGACGGACACCGUGGUCAUGUCCCAGAACUUCGCGUCCGGCAUGAACCUCACCUCCGGCUCCUACGUCUUCGCCGUCGACCGGGCCACCGGCAACCUCACGCUCAAGUGGGCCAACGCCGGCUCCGCCACCGUCACCUACUUCAACAAGGGCUAUAACUCCACCUUCACCGCCAACAGGACGCUCAGCUCCCCAACGCUCACGAUGCAGACCAACGGCAUCGUCUCCCUCACCGACGGCACGCUCAACGCACCCGUCGUCGUCGCCUACAGCAGCAACUACGGCGAGAGCGGCGACAUGCUGCGCUUCGUGCGCCUCGACUCGGACGGCAACUUCCGCGCCUACAGCGCCGGGCGCGGCAGCGGCACGGCCACCGAGCAGUGGUCCGCGGUGGCGGACCAGUGCGAGGUGUUCGGCUACUGCGGCAACAUGGGCGUGUGCGGCUACAACGGCACGUCGCCGGUGUGCGGGUGCCCGUCGCGGAACUUCCAGCUCAACGACGCCUCCAACCCCCGAAGCGGGUGCAGGCGCAAGGUCGAGCUCCAGAACUGCCCGGGCAACUCCACCAUGCUCCAGCUCGACAACACGCAGUUCCUCACCUACACGCCGGAGAUAACCACCGAGCAGUUCUUCGUCGGCAUCACCGCGUGCCGCCUCAACUGCCUCUCCGGCAGCUCCUGCGUUGCCUCCACCGCGCUCUCCGACGGCUC
rnacentral:lncRNA from 1 species